GCCAAUACGGUUAAGUUUCGAAUACUGUGGAAAAGUUAUCGGAUGUUACGAGAUAAGUAGAGAGUGAGAUUUGAUUGAUGUGAGAGAGAAAAGAAAGGAUAGGAAUGCAUUUAUUAGAGUGCCAAGUGUCAAUUUUCCAUUGGUUUGACUUUAAGAGUUACUAUUCACUAUUUUGACCUUUGACCAAAAUUGGUUAAAUAUCUCCAAAAAUUCACAAAAUUCACCAUUUUCUUCCCUUGUGUUGGCCGAACCUCUCAUCAAAGAAGAAAAAAAAACUCUUCCAAGUUUAAGCUUCCAACAAGCUCAAAUCACCCAACUCAAGUCCUUAAACUAGAAUCUACUCCAUGAAAUUCCUUCCUUUGGUGCUCUUGAGUGUAUUAGUGAAGUUGAUUUGAAGAGCUAAGGUGUCCACACUCCCUAUCUCUCUUGAUUGCUUGGUAAGUGAUGCUUGAACACCCUACUACAUCUAAUGAUGGUUAUAUUAUGCUUAGAAGUGGCUUGAGUGUUGGAAAAUGUGAUUUAUUUCUUGAUUUGAAGAGUUUUGGUGAAGUUUUCCAUUUUAUGAUGAAUUUUCUGGUUUCAUAUGAUUUUGAUGUUUUGGACUAGUAUGAUGGUUGGUAAUAAGGGGCUUUGGCUCUAGUAGGUGUGAAUUGUGGUUAAAUGCAACCAAUUUUGGAUUUGGAAUGAAAUGUGAAAAGUUAGGGUUCAUGAACCCCUAUUCUGUCCGAAAUUUUAGGUCAUAGCUAGAGGCCGAAUUGGACUUUGCUCAAAACAUGAAAGUUGUAGGUAUUGAUGAUUUUGAAGAGCCUGCAAAAUUUCAGGGCAUUUGGAGUAGUAUAGAGAGAGUUAUGCCGUUUUUACUG
rnacentral:lncRNA from 1 species